CCUACGGGAGGCAGCAGUGGGGAAUAUUGCACAAUGGGGGAAACCCUGAUGCAGCGACGCCGCGUGAGUGAAGAAGUAUCUAGGUAUGUAAAGCUCCAUCAGCAGGGAAGAAGAAAGACGGUACCUGACCAAGAAGCCUCGGCUAACUACGUGCCAGCAGCCGCGGUAAUACGUAGGGGGCAAGCGUUAUCCGGAUUUACUGGGUGUAAAGGGAGCGUAGACGGCUGUGCAAGUCUGAAGUGAAAGCCUAGGGCUCAACCCUGGGACUGCUUUGGAAACUGUGGAGCUAGAGUGCUGGAGAGGUAAGUGGAAUUCCUGGUGUAGCGGUGAAAUGCGUAGAUAUUAGGAGGAACACCAGUGGCGAAGGCGGCUUACUGGACAGUAACUGACGUUGAGGCUCGAAAGCGUGGGGAGCAAACAGGAUUAGAUACCCCAGUAGUC
rnacentral:rRNA from 1 species